AGCGAACGCUGGCGGCAGGCCUAACACAUGCAAGUCGAACGAACCUUUCGGGGUUAGUGGCGGACGGGUGAGUAACACGUGGGAACGUGCCUUUAGGUUCGGAAUAACUCAGGGAAACUUGUGCUAAUACCGAAUGUGCCCUUCGGGGGAAAGAUUAAUCGCCUUUAGAGCGGCCCGCGUCUGAUUAGCUAGUUGGUUGAGGUAAUGGCUCACCAAGGCGACGAUCAGUAGCUGGUCUGAGAGGAUGAUCAGCCACAUUGGGACUGAGACACGGCCCAAACUCCUAUGGGAGGCAGCAGUGGGGAAUCUUGCGCAAUGGGCGAAAGCCUGACGCAGCCAUGCCGCGUGAAUGAUGAAGGUCUUAGGAUUGUAAAAUUCUUUCACCGGGGACGAUAAUGACGGUACCCGGAGAAGAAGCCCCGGCUAACUUCGUG
rnacentral:rRNA from 1 species